rnacentral:lncRNA from 1 species
AGUUGACAAGAUUUUGUGUAAGACUGAAGUAUAUUGUUAAUGACUGCUGAGGGACUACUGCUCUUGAUUGUUUUUAUUGAAUGAGAUUGAGAAGAAAUAAUCUUCUGGAUUAACUGGUGUCCAUGAGGGUACUUCUAUUUCUGGCUUUGAGAAGAGCACGGAUAAAGUAGAGCUCCAGAAGUGUUGCGAGGCAUUAGAGGCCUCUCUGGUGUGAGUGCAGAGAUCCCAUUUACAUUGAUUUCGCGUGAGAUCACAAGGGUCACCCCUUGGCGGUAAGUGGCUUGUUUUAAAUAGUAGAGGUUUCGCAGACCUGCCUUUUAAGGCCUAAAACCUAUCUCUCAGCAGGUUUAAUUUGCACAC